rnacentral:rRNA from 1 species
CCCUUAGAUGUUCUGGGCCGCACGCGCGCUACACUGACGAAGUCAGCGAGCAUGUCCUACGCCGACAGGUGCGGGGAAUCUUGUCAAACUUCGUCGUGAUGGGGAUUGAUUUUUGAAAUUCUUGAUCAUAAACGAGGAAUUCCUAGUAAACGCAAGUCAGCAGCUUGCGUUGAUUACGUCCCUGCCCUUUGUACACACCGCCCGUCGCUACUACCGAUUGAAUGGUUUAGUGAGAUCUUCGGAUUGGCGCCACUGCAGCUCAGCAAUGGGCUUGGUGGAUGCCGAAAAGUUGAUCAAACUUGAUCAUUUAGAGGAAGUAAAAGUCGUAACA